UACGGAGGGGGCUAGCGUUGUUCGGAAUUACUGGGCGUAAAGCGCACGUAGGCGGCUUUGCAAGUUAGAGGUGAAAGCCCGGGGCUCAACCCCGGAAUUGCCUUUAAAACUGCAUCGCUAGAAUUGUGGAGAGGUAAGUGGAAUUCCGAGUGUAGAGGUGAAAUUCGUAGAUAUUCGGAAGAACACCAGUGGCGAAGGCGGCUCACUGGACCGGUAUUGACGCUGAGGCGCGAAAGCGUGGGGAGCAAACAGG
rnacentral:rRNA from 1 species